UGGGGAAUUUUGGACAAUGGGCGAAAGCCUGAUCCAGCAAUGCCGCGUGUGUGAAGAAGGCCUUCGGGUUGUAAAGUACUUUUGUCCGGAAAGAAAUCCUUGGCUCUAAUACAGUCGGGGGAUGACGGUACCGGAAGAAUAAGCACCGGCUAACUACGUGCCAGCAGCCGCGGUAAUACGUAGGGUGCAAGCGUUAAUCGGAAUUACUGGGCGUAAAGCGUGCGCAGGCGGUUUGCUAAGACCGAUGUGAAAUCCCCGGGCUCAACCUGGGAACUGCAUUGGUGACUGGCAGGCUAGAGUAUGGCAGAGGGGGGUAGAAUUCCACGUGUAGCAGUGAAAUGCGUAGAGAUGUGGAGGAAUACCGAUGGCGAAGGCAGCCCCCUGGGCCAAUACUGACGCUCAUGCACGAAAGCGUGGGGAGCAAACAGGAUUAGAUACCCUGGUAGUCCACGCCCUAAAACGAUGUCAACUAGUUGUUGGGGAUUCAUUUCCUUAGUAACGUAGCUAACGCGUGAAGUUGACCGCCUGGGGAGUACGGUCGCAAGAUUAAAACUCAAAGGAAUUGACGGGGUCAUAGCUGUUUCCU
rnacentral:rRNA from 1 species